ensembl:lncRNA
AUGCAGAAAAAAGAGCGAGAGAACACGAAUAUUUUAUCGGGUGGAGAUAUCCAGGUGUAUUACUGUGCAGUGGACCUAAAGAGCAGACCCGAGGGAAGAUUGAGGGCCACUAGGUUCUUAUCUGCACCUGCUGCAUCAUGGGUAACUUCGCUGGCAAGGACGGCCAUGGCCUUACAGGGUCUCGUUUGGAUAUGUUCCACACUCCGCCCUCCUCCCCGUCUGAUUCAGACCUAGCCGUGGCUCGGCUGCUGCAGCAGGGCACGCCGUCCUCCGGUGCCGCCCAGGGCAUCGCCUGGCAUGGCGGAGCCUCCGCCAUCUCCGACUGGAGUCAC